AUUGAACGCUGGCGGCAGGCCUAACACAUGCAAGUCGAACGGUAGCACAGAGAGCUUGCUCUCGGGUGACGAGUGGCGGACGGGUGAGUAAUGUCUGGGAAACUGCCUGAUGGAGGGGGAUAACUACUGGAAACGGUAGCUAAUACCGCAUAACGUCGCAAGACCAAAGAGGGGGACCUUCGGGCCUCUUGCCCUCAGAUGUGCCCAGAUGGGAUUAGCUUGUAGGCGGGGUAAUGGCCCACCUAGGCGACGAUCCCUAGCUGGGCUGAGAGGAUGACCAGCAACACUGGAACUGAGACACGGUCCAGACUCCUACGGGAGGCAGCAGUGGGGAAUAUUGCACAAUGGGCGCAAGCCUGAUGCAGCCAUGCCGCGUGUGUGAAGAAGGCCUUCGGGUUGUAAAGCACUUUCAGCGGGGAGGAAGGCGGUACGGUUAAUAACCGUGCCGAUUGACGUUACCCGCAGAAGAAGCACCGGCUAACUCCGUGCCAGCAGCCGCCGUAA
rnacentral:rRNA from 1 species